rnacentral:rRNA from 1 species
AUACGGAGGGUGCAAGCGUUAUCCGGAUUUAUUGGGUUUAAAGGGUGCGUAGGCGGAUUGUUAAGUCAGCGGUGAAAUUUUUCGGCUCAACCGGAACAUUGCCGUUGAUACUGGCUAUCUAGAAUAUGGUUGCUGUGAGUAGAAUGUGUGGUGUAGCGGUGAAAUGCAUAGAUAUCACACAGAAUACCGAUUGCGAAGGCAUCUCACAAAGCCAUUAUUGACGCUGAGGCACGAAAGUGUGGGGAUCAAACAGGAUUAGAUACCCUGGUAGUCCACACUGUAAACGAUGAUAACUAGCUGUUGGCGAUACACCGUCAGUGGCCCAGCGAAAGCGAUAAGUUAUCCACCUGGGGAGUACGACCGCAAGGUUGAA